rnacentral:rRNA from 1 species
UGGGGAAUCUUGGACAAUGGGCGAAAGCCUGAUCCAGCCAUGCCGCGUGUGUGAAUAAGGUCUUCGGAUUGUAAAGCACUUUAAGUUGGGAGGAAGGGCAGUAAGCGAAUACCUUGCUGUUUUGACGUUACCGACAGAAUAAGCACCGGCUAACUCUGUGCCAGCAGCCGCGGUAAUACAGAGGGUGCAAGCGUUAAUCGGAAUUACUGGGCGUAAAGCGCGCGUAGGUGGUUCGUUAAGUUGAAUGUGAAAGCCCCGGGCUCAACCUGGGAACUGCAUCCAAAACUGGCGAGCUAGAGUAGGGCAGAGGGUGGUGGAAUUUCCUGUGUAGCGGUGAAAUGCGUAGAUAUAGGAAGGAACACCAGUGGCGAAGGCGACCACCUGGGCUCAUACUGACACUGAGGUGCGAAAGCGUGGGGAGCAAACAGG